CUGGAGUUGGGCGACAUGCCUUUUCCCCUUUCUAGGCCCCGUGACAGCCAUCUUGCUAUUACUCACCUUCAGGCCCUGUAUUUUUAACCUCCUUGUCAAAUUUGCUUCCUCCAGGAUCAAGGCCAUCAAGCUACAGAUGGUCUUACAAAUGGAACCCCAAAUGAGCUCAACUCUCAACUUCUACCAAGGACCCCUGGAUCGAACCACUGGCCCUCUGGCUGGCCUGGAGAGUUUCCCUCUGGAGGACACUACCACUGCAGGGCCCCUUCUUCGCCCCUAUCCAGCAGGAAGUAGCUAGAGUGGUCAUUGCUCAAUUCCCAACAGCAGCUGGGGUGUCCUGUUUAGAGGGGGGAUUGAAAGGUGAAGCCAACUGGACUUCCUGGGUAGAGUGGGGACUUGGAGAACUUUUCUGUCUUACAACAGGACUGUAAGAUACACCAAUCAGCGUCUGUAAAAACGUACCAAUCAGCACUCUGUGGCUAGCUAGAGGUUUGUAAAAUGCACCAAUCAGCACUCUGUAGCUAGCUAGAGGUUUGUAAAAUGGACCAAUCAGAGCUCUGUAAAAUGGACCAAUGGGCACUCUGUAAAAUGGACCAAUCAGCACUCUGUAAAAUGGACCAAUCAGCAGGACAUGGGCAGGGACAAAUCAGGGAAUAAAAGCUGGCCACCCCAGCCAGCAGGGGCAACCUGCUGCCGUUCCUUUCUGUGUGUGGAAGCUUUGUUCUUUUGCUCUUCUCCAUAAAUCUUGCUGCUGCUCACUCUUUGGGUCUGCACCACAUUUAAGAGCUGUGACACUCACCGUGAAGGUCUGCAGCUUCAUUGUUGAAGUCAGUGAGACUACGAACCCACUGGAGGGAACCAACUCCAGACACAACAGUGCACUGGAUCUUGCCGCUGUGGCUGUCCUGGAGUUUCCGAGCCUACUCUGGCUUGGGAGGCCGCCCGAGUUGCACAUCUUUCAUUGCUUGAUGAAACUCCUUUAAAUUUAAUUCGGCUGAAGUUUUUCUUUUAUCAUGUGUAAUGUCAAAAUAUCCAGUUGGAAAGGGGAAAAAACGACGAUCCUCAAGAAGGCGGUUCGGGCAACACCAAGCCUCCAGCAGUGGGAAGAUCAAUGUCAAGGUGAUUGAUGAAUUUCCCUUUUUUAUUCGGAUGUUUUGAAGUCAGAUAGGAACUGACAGAAAGUGAGAUUGGUGGGCAAUUUUCUGGAAAUGAAAUCUAGAAGUUGGACUAGAUCAUGGAGUCUAGCUUGAGAGCCUCCGGAAAAUAGGCCUCCAUGUAAUCUAAAAGUAAAGCUGGCCCAUACAGAGAUGAAAGGCUGGCAAGAGCCUGGGAAGUCUUUGAAAGGGAGGAUUUUUAAAUUUAGGUAGCAGGAAGGGAAUGAUGAUGUCACAGCUAAGAUCAGACAGCCCUCGAAGUAGAACCUACAGGUGAAAUAUGGAAGGGGAGAUGGUGUUCAGGAGGCUUCAGUGGCCUAUGGGGAACAGGAAAGGAAUGAGACAUAAAGGGGAGUUUUUAAAAGUUUGAAGUCUUAUUUUUCACCUGUGGUCUAAGACAGAAUUUAAAAUCUGUUUGGAAUAAAGUACAGAUGAAGAACAAAUCAAAUUUGUCUACAAUAGAAUGUUCGUAAUUAAGGAGAAGUCAGAAUUUUGUAUAAUAGGAAUAGGAAUGGAGGGAAAGGGGACCAGUUCUGUUGACCAUGCUUUGCAGAUAAGGGCGUCUCGGUCACCAAUUUGCAAAAAGUCACCCGGGGAACUUGUUGAAUGAGGAUUUUGAUUCAAUAUGUCUGGGAUGGAGCCAGAGAGUCUGCAUUUCUAAUUAUCUCCCAGAUGACAUCAACGCUGCUUUGGGUGGCAAGGCUCUACAGCAGGGAUUUCCACAACUGAAUUCACGAAAGUCCCUUAGUAACUCUGAUAUGCAGCAGGAUUUUGGAACUGGAGCUAUUGAAAAGCUCAUUGAAGAUUAAUUAAUGCAAGAACCAGAGGAAUCAGGACAGUAUUGAAGCUUCUUCAAGCAAAACGUUUUAUUUCCAGCAGCAUGUGGAAAAACAUAUUGUAGAUGUCUGUAUAAAAUAUCUCAAACAGCCAUCAGAAAUUUGGGAUGUAAUGUUUUUAAUAAACCAUAGAAUGCCUGUUUUAAAGAUGUUGAAGUCCUGGAGUAACUAAAAAGGAUGGAUGAAAUGAGUAAAUCUGUAGACACAGUGACACUUUUGUCGCUUCUUGAAUCAUACUUUAAAUUAUUUGAGUAAUAAAUGUGACCAGUGACUUCUAGAUAUUUAAGGAGCUACAAUCAGAGUGUGUGUGUGUGUGUGUGUGUGUGUGUGUGUGUGUUAGAGAAACCCUACUUUCACAGGGAAUCCAGGGC
rnacentral:lncRNA from 10 species